GUCCUACGGGGGGCAGCAGUGAGGAAUAUUGGUCAAUGGACGCAAGUCUGAACCAGCCAUGCCGCGUGAAGGAUGAAGGCCUUCUGGGUUGUAAACUUCUUUUAUUGGGGAAGAAAAUUACGGUUUCUACUGUAACCGACGGUACCCAAUGAAUAAGCACCGGCUAACUCCGUGCCAGCAGCCGCGGUAAUACGGAGGGUGCAAGCGUUAUCCGGAUUCACUGGGUUUAAAGGGUGUGUAGGCGGGCUAUUAAGUCAGUGGUGAAAUCUCCGGGCUCAACCCGGAAACUGCCAUUGAUACUAUUAGUAUUGAAUAUCGUUGAGGUAGGCGGAAUAUAUCAUGUAGCGGUGAAAUGCAUAGAUAUGAUAUAGAACACCGAUUGCGAAGGCAGCUUGCUAAACGAUGAUUGACGCUGAGGCACGAAAGCGUGGGGAUCAAACAGGAUUAGAUACCCUAGUAGUCUAA
rnacentral:rRNA from 1 species